rnacentral:rRNA from 1 species
GGGCCCGCACAAGCGGUGGAGCAUGCGGUUUAAUUCGAUGCUACGCGAAAAACCUUACCAAUCCUUGACUUGUAUAGUUUCGAGAAGUGGAGACAUUUUUCCUCAGUUCGGCUGGGCUAUUCACAGGUGCUGCAUGGCUGUCGUCAGCUCGUGUCGUGAGAUGUUGGUUAAGUCCCGCAACGAGCGCAACCCACAUCUUUAGUUGCCAGCAGGUUAAGCUGGGCACUCUAGAGAAACUGCCCGUGAUAAGCGGGAGGAAGGUGUGGAUGACGUCAAGUCCUCAUGGCCCUUACGGGUUGGGCUACACACGUGCUACAAUGGCAGUGACAAUGGGU